AAGAUGAUAAAAAGGAAGAAUCUAUGGAGUCAGAAGCAGACGGAAUGAGAGAAAUUACAUCUGGCAAUGACAAUCCAGAGGCUUCAAAACACCCUAAGGCCUCCACUGGUAACCGUCGGGAUAACAAGGGUUCACGAAAAAGAGGGAGGCAAAAAGCUGAAGAAAAGGAG